rnacentral:rRNA from 1 species
GUGGGGAAUUUUGGACAAUGGGCGCAAGCCUGAUCCAGCAAUGCCGCGUGCAGGAAGAAGGCCUUCUGGUUGUAAACUGCUUUUGUACGGAACGAAACGGUCCUGGUUAAUACCUGGGGCUAAUGACGGUACCGUAAGAAUAAGCACCGGCUAACUACGUGCCAGCAGCCGCGGUAAUACGUAGGGUGCGAGCGUUAAUCGGAAUUACUGGGCGUAAAGCGUGCGCAGGCGGUGCUGUAAGACAGGCGUGAAAUCCCCGGGCUCAACCUGGGAAUUGCGCUUGUGACUGCAGUGCUGGAGUACGGCAGAGGGGGAUGGAAUUCCGCGUGUAGCAGUGAAAUGCGUAGAUAUGCGGAGGAACACCGAUGGCGAAGGCAGUCCCCUGGGCCUGUACUGACGCUCAUGCACGAAAGCGUGGGGAGCAAACAGGAUUAGAUACCCGUGUAGUCC